rnacentral:lncRNA from 1 species
CCAAAAAUACAAUUCCAAGUACCAACGAAAACGUCGAGCUUAAAAUACUUAAUUUACAAAUUUAAAGUUCCUAAUCCAGGGCACAGAAGCACCACAGGAUUCACAUUUUCCCAAAGGCACAAGAAAAAUCAUCCAAAAGAUAUUAAAAUAUCUCCCAAAGUACAAUUACAAAAGUGGCAUUCAAAAUAUAACAUUUCUUUUCUAGUUCUCCAAGACUUCAUGCAUUUCAAAACCUGUCAAGGAAAACAAAUUGGAAGGAAUGAGCCAAUAGCUCAGUGGUGCCUCGAAACAUGCAAUUCACAUAGGACAAUUUAACAAGUACAAAUGGACAAGUAAGCAAUUAACAAUUUAAGAAAACGGAGUAACAUGACAAGAAAAGGAUACGGGGCUCUCAGGAGCCAAAGUCCUCGCGCUUGAUCAGGUAAUUUAUAGUAGUUGACACUCCGUCAACUUUCACUACCUAAUCUCCAUGUAGACAUUUUCCCUAAUCUACACGUCUCCUAGCAACAACUUUCCCCUUUUUUUUUUUUCCGGCCCGACUCCAACACGAAUUUUGCAAGCACUUUUACCAAGACGGCAGAGAGGUACCUCCCACUCUAAUAGAGCGUGGUACGUGCAUCCGUUUGGUUUAUUUAGUCGACGAGACCACGCUCCAAUCGACAUUACAACACUUGUACUUGUGGUAUUUCAUGCAAUCACAUAGCACAUAACAUUUCAUGAUGUCUUUAGCAAGUACUUUUAACAAGUAGUUCAACUAGCAGUUAAACACGAUUCAUGCAAGAGAUACUCACCUCAAGUGAAGAGUCUAGAAUUCCAAACUUUGAUCGAGAUCGUGCUCUUUACCAACUCCUAAAAUCAUACAAAUAAUUCACAUAAAUUUCCACUCUUGAGUUGGCGAAUUUAACUCGAGUCAACUAGCAUUUAAUUUCACUCAAAAAUCCCAAACUAGUAUUAAUUGUUUUCUCAAAGUGAAAUCCAUAAAUUUCGAGUGAAAUUAAAUUUUGAGGUUUCUUUAAAACCAAAAACUUGCUAAAUUCGUCAAAUAUUCCAAUAACCAAGUUCUAGAGUCAUAUAAGCAAUUAACACCACUUUGGUGUCACAAGUUGAGAAAAAUCACAUUUAACUAUUUAGAAGAAUUUUCCCCUCUAAUUUUCCCCAAAAAUAUCUGGGGAAAUUCCUUUAAGAGGAAAUCAUAUAAACCAAGUAAAACUAGCCGUUGGAAUUUCUAUAAAAUAGAAAUUCCUUAAGUUUGCCAAAUUCCAUUGACCAACUUGGUUCAAGGAUUUUCAUGAAGACAAAAACUUGAGUUUUCAAGAAAAUUUCCAAAUUUGGCAUAUUUCUCGAAAUAUGGCAUUUGGUCUAAUAAAAUUCAAGAUUAUUGACUCGAAGUGGACCUAGUAACAAAGGUUAAUGCUAGAAAACAUUUUCGGGACAAUUUAGUCCACAUUUAACCAAAACGAAGUCCAAACGUCAAAAUCAUUUCUAAUUUCAAACAAAAUUUCUGUUUUGGGUAGCCUCGUGAAGAAUAAAAUUUUGGUCCACUUUUUGGACGUAAACUCUACUAGAUUUUUGUCCCAAAUUGAGCUAUACACACCCCUUAACUAAACACAAGUCAAAUUGGGUUCAUGUUAACGUGAAAAUCAUUCAACAUGUCUCAUGCAAAGCUGGAAAAAUUUUUCAAGUGCAUUUGGUACAAGCAGUCCAUUUUCUCUUCAAUUUGUCCAAAAAUUUUCAACUACUCAAAGGCUACAUUUUUACCCAAACAAUAAUUCACAUAUAGGUUAACAUGUUUACAGCUCAAAUGGUUCAAAAACUUGUCAAAACCAAACCCCAAAUUCGCCCAAAAAUCUGGAAAUUUCCAGAAUUUUUUCGGACAGCUCAAGGGGCAUUUUUCUCUUUGAUUUUUCAAUGAAAUUUCCCAUUGUACCAAAGCUGCAUUUUCACCAAAACUACUCUACACAUAUAGGUGAACAUAUACAUGAUUUAAAUGGCUCAAUAACUUCACAAAAUCCAGCUCAAAAUUUCGGGUAAAAAUGGAAGAAAAACAGGCUUGCUGGUUCGGUUGCAGAGCAGAAUUUUUCUCUUCUUUUUGAUCAACCAUUUCCAACUUAUAAUUCAUACUUUAAGUCCCUAACAAUCACCACUAACUAGUCUAGCCCCCAAACAAACAAUCCAGUUCAUUACCUAAGCGAAAUUUGCAAAACAUCAACAGGUACAAAUCUGGAAAAUUUUCCCUUCUCUCGGCAGCACCCCAGCUUCAUUCAAAAAAAUAUUUUCCCAACAUUUAACCACAUCAAAACAUACAUAUAGCACAUAAAACACCUCUAGCUUCAUCAAUCAUUAGCUUAGAGGAUCAGCAACCCAACAUGUUUCACUAAGACAAGCUAAAACUUCAAGAACCAAAAGCUGCAACAAAUCUGAAAUUUUGGCUAAGGGGGUGAAGCGGAAGUUUUUGGGUUACCUUUGGUGGUUGUUUACUAGCUAAAUGAAGUGCCUAGUUCCCCAAGUUCGCUCCUAGAAUCACUGAGGUCAGUCGGCACCCCUUUGCACUCUGUUUUUCUCUCGGUCAGACUCGUUCGCAGCAGCACAGCAACGAUCGGAGGUUGAAGAGGGCUGGGGUUCUGGGGUUUUUGGUGAGCUGGAGGUGGUUCUGUGGUUGGUGGAAGGAAGAAAUAGGAAGCUAGUUUUUCUCCUUCACCCUGGUCCGAACAACCCAGCAGUAGUAGCAGCAGCAGGAGCAGCGAGAGUAGCAGCAGCAACAACGAUCCACUCCUUCCUCUUGCUCGAUCAGGACAGCAGCAAGAAGUGGAGGUGGAAGCUGAAAAUGGAAGCUUGAAGACUGGGUGUGAGUGGCUGAAGAUGAGAGGCUGUUGGAGCUUGGAAGGCAACGGUUUCUGCU